ensembl:snoRNA Small nucleolar RNA SNORA77
GCAGACUCACUCUGUUCUUUGCUGUGUGAUCCAGCUUAGGACUUUUUCUGUCUGCUACAAAAUUCUGCAGAACAUAACAAAUAACUGUUUUUCUGUAAAGAAAAGGUGUUUGUUCUGCCACAUUUUG